GACGAACGCUGGCGGCGUGCCUAAUACAUGCAAGUUGAGCGCUGAAGGUUGGUACUUGUACCAACUGGAUGAGCAGCGGACGGGUGAGUAACGCGUGGGGAAUCUGCCUUUGAGCGGGGGACAACAUUUGGAAACGAAUGCUAAUACCGCAUAAAAACUUUAAACACAAGUUUUAAGUUUGAAAGAUGCAAUUGCAUCACUCAAAGAUGAUCCCGCGUUGUAUUAGCUAGUUGGUGAGGUAAAGGCUCACCAAGGCGAUGAUACAUAGCCGACCUGAGAGGGUGAUCGGCCACAUUGGGACUGAGACAAGGCCCAAACUCCUACGGGAGGCAGCAGUAGGGAAUCCUCGGCAAUGGACGAAAGUCUGACCGAGCAACGCCGCGUGAGUGAAGAAGGGUUUCGGAUCGUAAAACUCUGUUGGUAGAGAAGAACGUUGGUGAGAGUGGAAAGCUCAUCAAGUGACGGUAACUACCCAGAAAGGGACGGCUAACUACGUG
rnacentral:rRNA from 1 species